rnacentral:rRNA from 1 species
GCGCCAGACUCCUACGGGAGGCAGCAGUGGGGGAUAUUGCACAAUGGGGGGAACCCUGAUGCAGCGACGCCGCGUGGGUGAAGGAGUCCUUCGGUACGUAAAGCCCUAUCAGCAGGAAAGAAAAUGACGGUACCUGACUAAGAAGCCCCGACUAACUACGUGCCAGCAGCCGCGGUAAUACGUAGGGGGCAAGCGUUAUCCGGAUUUACUGGGUGUAAAGGGAGCGUAGACGGCGAUGCAAGCCAGAUGUGAAAGCCCGGGGCUCAACCCCGGGACUGCAUUUGGAACUGUGUGGCUGGAGUGUCGGAGAGGCAGGCGGAAUUCCUAGUGUAGCGGUGAAAUGCGUAGAUAUUAGGAGGAACACCAGUGGCGAAGGCGGCCUGCUGGACGAUGACUGACGUUGAGGCUCGAAAGCGUGGGGAGCAAACAGGAUUAGAUACCCGAGUA